rnacentral:rRNA from 1 species
GUGAGGAAUAUUGGUCAAUGGGCGAGAGCCUGAACCAGCCAAGUCGCGUGAAGGAAGAAGGAUCUAUGGUUCGUAAACUUCUUUUGCAGGGGAAUAAAGUGCAGGACGUGUCCUGUUUUGUAUGUACCCUGAGAAUAAGGAUCGGCUAACUCCGUGCCAGCAGCCGCGGUAAUACGGAGGAUCCGAGCGUUAUCCGGAUUUAUUGGGUUUAAAGGGUUCGUAGGUGGUUUGAUAAGUCAGCGGUGAAAGUUUGCAGCUUAACUGUAAAAAUGCCGUUGAAACUGUAGGACUUGAGUGUAAAUGAGGUAGGCGGAAUGCGUGGUGUAGCGGUGAAAUGCAUAGAUAUCACGCAGAACUCCGAUUGCGAAGGCAGCUUACUAAGCUACAACUGACACUGAAGCACGAAAGCGUGGGGAUCAAACAGGAUUAGAAACCCCUGUAGUCC